rnacentral:tRNA from 2 species
CAGGAGGUAGUUUAAUUGAAAAUUUUGGCUUUGGGAGCCAAAGAUGGGGGUUUGAUGCCCCUCUUUCUGA